GACGAACGCUGGCGGCGUGCUUAACACAUGCAAGUCGAGCGGAAAGGCCACUUCGGUGGUACUCGAGCGGCGAACGGGUGAGUAACACGUGAGUAAUCUGCCCUUGGCUUUGGGAUAGCCACCGGAAACGGUGAUUAAUACCGGCUAUGACCACUCUAGGCAUCUAGUGGUGGUGGAAAGGUUUUCGGCCAGGGAUGUGCUCGCGGCCUAUCCGCUUGAUGGGGCGGUAAUGGCUCCCCAUGGCUUCGACGGGUAGCCGGCCUGAGAGGGUGGCCGGUCACACUGGGACUGAGACACGGCCCAGACUCCUACGGGAGGCAGCAGUGGGGAAUAUUGGACAAUGGGCGGAAGCCUGAUCCAGCAACGCCGCGUGAGGGAUGACGGCCUUCGGGUUGUAAACCUCUUUCAGCAGGGACGAAGCGCGAGUGACGGUACCUGCAGAAGAAGCACCGGCCAACUACGUGCCAGCCGCCGCGGUAA
rnacentral:rRNA from 1 species